CUGUCUUAGUGGCGGACGGGUGAGUAACGCGUGGGCAACCUGCCCUGUACCGGGGGAUAACACUUAGAAAUAGGUGCUAAUACCGCAUAAUAGGGAAUACCGCAUGGUAAUCCUUUUGAAAACUCCGGUGGUACAGGAUGGGCCCGCGUCUGAUUAGCCAGUUGGCGGGGUAACGGCCCACCAAAGCGACGAUCAGCAGCCGGCCUGAGAGGGUGGACGGCCACACUGGGACUGAGACACGGCCCAGACUCCUACGGAAGGCAGCAG
rnacentral:rRNA from 1 species